rnacentral:rRNA from 1 species
AUUGAACGCUGGCGGCAGGCCUAACACAUGCAAGUCGAGCGAGCGGCGGACGGGUGAGUAAUGUAUGGGGACUGCCCGAUAGAGGGGGAUAACUACUGGAAAAGGUAGCUAAUACCGCAUACUAACGGAUAACCAAUAUGGUAUUAGCUAGUAUGUGAGGUAAUUGCUCACCUAGGAGACGCUCCCUAGCUGGUCUGAGAGGAUGAUCAGCCACACUGUGACUGAGAACAGGCCCAGACUCUUACGGAGGCAGCAGUGGGGAAUAUUGCACAAUGUGCGCCAGCCUGAUGCAGCAAUGCCGCGUGUAUGAAGAAGGCCCUAGGGUUGUAAAGUACUUUCAGUCGGGAGGCGUUGCCGACAGAAGAAGCACCGGCUAACUCCGUGCCAGCAGCCGCGGUAAUAC